CCUACGGUGGACAGCAGUAGGGAAUCUUGCUCAAUGGGGGAAACCCUGACGCAGCAACGCCGCGUGGAGGAAGAAGGUUUUAGGAUUGUAAACUCCUUUUGUUAGAGAAGAUUAUGACGGUAUCUAACGAAUCAGCACCUGCUAACUCCGUGCCAGCAGCCGCCGUAAUACGGAGUGCGCAAGCGUUACUCGGUAUCACUGGGCGUAAAGAGUGCGUAGGCGGGUUAAUAAGUCAGAUGUGAAAGCCUGUAGCUUAACUACAGAACUGCAUUGGAAACUGUUACUCUGGAGUGUGGGAGAGGUAAGUGGAAUUCUUGGUGUAGGGGUAAAAUGCGUAGAGAUAAAGAGGAAUACUAAUUGCGAAGGCGACCCGCUGGAACAUUACUGACGCUGAUGCACGAAAGCGUGGGGAGCAAACAGGAUUAGAUACCCUUGUAGUC
rnacentral:rRNA from 1 species